AUUGAACGCUAGCGGGAUGCUUUACACAUGCAAGUCGAACGAGCGGCGGACGGGUGAGUAAUGUAUGGGAACGUGCCCAGUAGAGGGGGAUAACUACUGGAAACGGUGGCUACUACCGCAUACUAUUGGAUCGCCCGAUAUCGGAUUAGCUAGUGGGUGGGGUAAAGGCGCACCAAGGCAACGAUCCGUAGCUGGUGUGAGAGGACGACCAGCCACACUGGGACUGAGACACGGCCCAGACUCCUACGGGAGGCAGCAGUAGGGAAGUUUGGACAAUGGGGGAAACCCUGAUCCAGCCAUCCCGCGUGUAUGAGAAGGCCUUCGGGUUGUAAAGUACUUUUGGCAGAGAAGCGGUAUCUGCAGAAUAAGCACCGGCUAACUACGUGCCAGCAGCCGCGGUAAUAC
rnacentral:rRNA from 1 species